rnacentral:rRNA from 1 species
UACAGAGGUCUCAAGCGUUGUUCGGAUUCAUUGGGCGUAAAGGGCGCGUAGGCGGCGGGGUAAGUCGGGUGUGAAAUCUCAGAGCUCAACUCUGAAACUGCACUCGAUACUGCUCUGCUUGAGGACUGGAGAGGAGACUGGAAUUCACGGUGUAGCAGUGAAAUGCGUAGAUAUCGUAAGGAAGACCAGUGGCGAAGGCGGGUCUCUGGACAGUUCCUGACACUGAGACACGAAGGCCAGGGGAGCAAACGGG